rnacentral:lncRNA from 13 species
CUGACUUUGGCCUGAAAGCCUCGCAGAGGGGCCCACAUUCCUGCCCACGGCAUCCCCGCUCCUAGGAGGAAACUCAACAGGAUCUCUCCCUAUCCCAGCAUGCGCUCCUCAUCCUUGGGAAAAAAAGACAGCGCUCAUAAAUCCGGACAAAGUUAAGAUAACCGUGAGAGAAUCCGGAGUGUCUGACCUGCUUCCUUGAAGGAGAUGGUGGUCUCUGCCCCCUGGGUCCUGGGCCUUGAUGUACCUUAGAGGAUGUGGGUGAAGGAGAUGCUGGCUGGAAUGCAGUGCUGCAAUCUCGGCACACCGAAACCUCCGCCUCCCAGGUUCAAGCUGUUCUUCCAUCUCAGGCUCCCAAGUAGCUGGGAUUACAGACGCAUGCCACCAUGCCUGGUUAAUUUUUGAUUUUUGUAUUUGUAGUAGAGGUGGGGUUUCAUAAUGUUGGCCAGACUGGCCUUGAACUCCUGACCUCAGGUAAUCUGCCCGUCUUGGCCUUCCAAAGUAUUGGGGUUACAGAAGUGAGUCACCACACCUGGCCAAGAACUUUCUUUCUUCUUACCUUUUCUCUUAGUAGUGAGAGAAUUUUACACAAAUGAUUAUUGUAGAUGGAUAACAUGGUAGUUACUGAAGGAGCGUUGGAGGAUGUGUUCUAACUUGUUCAUUUUACAAGUGGAGAUACUGCGGCCCAGAGAGAGAAAUAGUGUCCUCAAAGUCACCACAUAGUAGGUGCUCACUAAGUACUUGUUGAUUGAAUCAGCAUAAACACACACAUUACAGACAGAGGGAACACCACCUGUUUGGAAGUCCCAGGCCACUGGGCUUUGACUCCCAGCGUGCACCACUUCAGUGUCCGAAAGCACAUUCACGUAAGUGAUUGCAGACAGGCUUCCUGGAGGAGGCAUGGCCUUCAAAGCUGUUCUAAGUGAGAGUCCAGGUGGAAGCCUGCGCAAACUGCAAACAGGACCAGGAGGAGGAGCUGGGGGCUGUGGGCACCUGGAGUGAGCUAUGGGGAGCUCAGGGGGUUGCUGGUGGAGCCUUGAGGAUUAGAGGCAGCAGUUUUGGGGCCUGCAGCUGUGGUCGCAUUCCUCCUCCUCCUCCCCUCAUCUCCCUUGGGUCCCUCCAGCUGGAGCUGCUGCUAACGAUACUGACCCAUCCUUGGCUGUGGAGACUGAGGCUGCCAGAGGGCGGGUGCUGGUUUCCAGGCUGUGCCACGUCAAGUGAGCCACUUAUGGGUGAGGAGGUCUCCAAGGAAACUCCAGAACAUUCUGUGGGUUUUGGUGAUGGCCUGCUGAGGUGGCAGUGGGCGUGGAGCAUCCGAAGGUCCAAGGGUUCUUCUUGGUCACUGUCAACCAUCCCCAGCUGCUACCAAGGUGCAAGAGCACGCCGGCAGCUGUGA